rnacentral:rRNA from 1 species
UACGUAGGGUGCAAGCGUUGUCCGGAAUUAUUGGGCGUAAAGAGCUCGUAGGCGGCUUGUCGCGUCGGCUGUGAAAUCCCGAGGCUCAACUUCGGGUCUGCAGUCGAUACGGGCAUAGCUAGAGUCCGGCAGGGGAGACUGGAAUUCCUGGUGUAGCGGUGAAAUGCGCAGAUAUCAGGAGGAACACCGGUGGCGAAGGCGGGUCUCUGGGCCGGUACUGACGCUGAGGAGCGAAAGCGUGGGGAGCGAACAGG